rnacentral:rRNA from 1 species
CGAUUGAACGCUGGCGGCAUGCCUUACACAUGCAAGUCGAACGGUAACAGGUUAAGCUGACGAGUGGCGAACGGGUGAGUAAUAUAUCGGAACGUGCCCAAUCGUGGGGGAUAACGCAGCGAAAGUUGUGCUAAUACCGCAUAAGAUCUACGGAUGAAAGCGGGGGAUCGCAAGACCUCGCGCGAGUGGAGCGGCCGAUAUCAGAUUAGCUAGUUGGUGGGGUAAAGGCCCACCAAGGCGACGAUCUGUAGCUGGUCUGAGAGGACGACCAGCCACACUGGGACUGAGACACGGCCCAGACUCCUACGGGAGGCAGCAGUGGGGAAUUUUGGACAAUGGGCGCAAGCCUGAUCCAGCAAUGCCGCGUGCAGGAUGAAGGCCUUCGGGUUGUAAACUGCUUUUGUACGGAGCGAAAAGGUCUGCCCUAAUACGGUGGGCUCAUGACGGUACCGUAAGAAUAAGCACCGGCUAACUACGUG